CCUACGGGAGGCAGCAGUCGAGAAUCAUUCACAAUGGGGGAAACCCUGAUGGUGCGACGCCGCGUGGGGGAAUGAAGGUCUUGGGAUUGUAAACCCCUGUCAUGUGGAAGCAAAUUAAAAAGAUAGUACCACAAGAGGAAGAGACGGCUAACUCUGGGCCAGCAGCCGCGGUAAUACAGAGGUCUCAAGCGUUGUUCGGAAUCACUGGGCGUAAAGCGUGCGUAGGCUGUUUCGUAAGUCGUGUGUGAAAGGCGCGGGCUCAACCCGCGGACGGCACAUGAUACUGCGAGACUAGAGUAAGGGAGGGGGAACCGGAAUUCUCGGUGUAGCAGUGAAAUGCGUAGAUAUCGAGAGGAACACUCGUGGCGAAGGCGGGUUCCUGGACAUUAACUGACGCUGAGGCACGAAGGCCAGGGGAGCGAAAGGGAUUAGAUACCCGGGUAGUC
rnacentral:rRNA from 1 species